CGACGUGAGCAAUCUGCCUUUAAGAGGGGGAUAACAGUCGGAAACGGCUGCUAAUACCGCAUAAAGCAUCAAAUUCGCAUGUUUUUGAUGCCAAAGGAGCAAUCCGCUUUUAGAUGAGCUCGCGUCUGAUUAGCUGGUUGGCGGGGUAACGGCCCACCAAGGCGACGAUCAGUAGCCGGACUGAGAGGAUGAACGGCCACAUUGGGACUGAGACACGGCCCAG
rnacentral:rRNA from 1 species